CAAUGAAGGAAGUAUGGUAAUUUGCACAUAAAUUGAUUUGGAUCUCUAGACCUGCCCUCUCUGAUGUCAUUUUGGCUUUAAUUUGGGGGUAUAGUUCUGCAGCAAAACG